ACACGCUUGGCGGCGUGCCAUACACAUGCAGGUCGAACGCGAAAGUCCCGCAAGGGAUGAGUUCAGUGGCAAACGGGUGAGUAACGCGUGGGUGACCUGCCUUCGAGUGGGGGAUAACGUUUCCAAAGGGACGCUAAUACCGCAUGACAUCCUGCCUUUGAAGAGGCGGAGAUCAAAGCCGGGGAUCGCAAGACCUGGCGCUUGAAGAGGGGCCCGCGUCUGAUUAGCUAGUUGGUGGGGUAAUGGCUCACCAAGGCAACGAUCAGUAUCCGGCCUGAGAGGGCGGACGGACACACUGGGACUGAGACACGGCCCAGACUCCUACGGGAGGCAGCAGUGGGGAAUUGUUCGCAAUGGGCGCAAGCCUGACGACGCAACGCCGCGUGGUAGGAUGAAGACCUUCGGGUCGUAAACUCCUUUCGAUCGAGACGAACGGCUCCCGGGUAAACAAUCCGGGAGAGUGACGGUACCGAGAGAACAAGCCCCGGCUAACUCCGUGCCAGCAGCCGCGGUAAUACGGGGGGGGCCAAGCGUUGUUUCGGAAUUACUGGGGCGUAAAGGGCUCGUAAGCGGCCCAACUAAAUCAAACGUGGAAACCCUCGGGCUUUAACCGGGGGAAAUGCGCUUGAAACUGGAAGGUUUGAACACUGG
rnacentral:rRNA from 1 species